rnacentral:rRNA from 1 species
GCAAAGGUAGCAUAGUCAUUAGUUCUUUAAUUGUGAUCUGGUAUGAAUGGCUUGACGAGGCAUGGGCUGUCUUAAUUUUGGAUUGUUUAUUGAAUUUGGUCUUUGAGUUAAAAUUCUUAGAUGUUUUUAUGGGACGAGAAGACCCUAUAGAGUUUAACAUUUGUUAUGGUCCCCUUUCUGUUUGUGAGGGUUCAUUGGGCCGUUUAAUAUGUUUUGUUGGGGUGAUGGGAGGGAUUAAUUUAACCCCUCCUUUUUAUUAUUAUAUUUAUUUAUAUUUACUUGAUCCAUUUAUUUUGAUUGUAAGAUUAAAUUACCUUAGGGAUAACAGCGUUAUCUUCCUUGAGAGUUCUUAUCGGCAGGGGGGUUUGCG